rnacentral:rRNA from 1 species
AUUGAACGCUGGCGGCAUGCUUUACACAUGCAAGUCGAACGGAUUUUGGAGCUUGCUCCAGAGUUAGUGGCGAACGGGUGAGUAAUAUAUCGGAACGUACCCGGCAAUGGGGGAUAACGUAGCGAAAGUUACGCUAAUACCGCAUAUGCCCUGAGGGGGAAAGCAGGGGACCAGUAGUUGCCUUGCGUUGUCGGCGCGGCCGGUAUCGGAUUAGCUAGUUGGUGAGGUAAAGGCUCACCGAGGCGACGAUCCGUAGCGGGUCUGAGAGGAUGAGCCGCCACACUGGGACUGAGACGCGGCCCAGACUCCUACGGGAGGCAGCAGUGGGGAAUUUUGGACAAUGGGCGAAAGCCUGAUCCAGCCAUGCCGCGUGAGUGAAGAAGGCCUUCGGGUUGUAAAGCUCUUUCAGGUGGAAAGAAAAGGUUACGGAUAAUACCUGUAACUGAUGACGGUACCAUCAGAAGAAGCACCGGCUAACUACGUGCCAGCAGCCGCGGUAA